GCCGGGCAUGGUGGCUCAUGCCUGUAAUCCCAGGACUUCAGGAGGCUGAGGUGGAUGGAUCACCUGAGGCCAGGAGUUCAAGACCAGCCUGGCCAACAUGGUGAAACCCCAUCUCUA
rnacentral:SRP_RNA from 1 species